CCCCACAAGUACACAUACCUCCAAAGUCCAAAAUGACUUUGGAAAAUUAAGCAACAAACCAUAAUAUUCAUACAUUAAUCCAUCAACAUAUUUAAUUUCAUAACAAAAUAUAAAUUGUCCAUCAACAUAUUUAGAAGGAAAGUAUCUUAAAAAGCUACCGAAGAAACAUCAUCAUCCUCAUCGUCGUCAUCGUCGUCAUCGUCGUUUUUGCAACCAAUUUCUAACAUGAAAUAAGAAUAAAUAAUUAGAUAAUCAAAUUGAUGAAAAAAUAUAAAACGAGAAUAAUAAUUACCUGCUGAAAAUCCCUUAGCUCGCAUCCAAUCAUCCAAGCAAACAACGGCUU
rnacentral:lncRNA from 1 species